CUGACGUUAGCGGCGGACGGGUGAGUAACACGUGGGUAACCUACCUAUAAGACUGGGAUAACCCCGGGAAACCGGGGCUAAUACCGGAUAACACAUGAAACCGCAUGGUUUCAUGAUGAAAGACGGUUUUGCUGUCACUUAUAGAUGGACCCGCGGCGUAUUAGCUAGUUGGUAAGGUAACGGCUUACCAAGGCAACGAUACGUAGCCGACCUGAGAGGGUGAUCGGCCACACUGGAACUGAGACACGGUCCAGACUCCUACGGGAGGCAGCAGAA
rnacentral:rRNA from 1 species